UUACGCUGUUAUCCCUAAGGUAAUUUAUUUUGAUAUUCUAAAAUUUAGGAUUAUAAAUUCAUUAAUUUAUGUGAAAUUUACUUAAAAGUUUAAUUAAUUAUAAAAUUACCCCAAUUAAAUAUUAAUUAAUAAUUUUUAUUAAAAUUAUUAUAGUUUUAAUUAUAAUUAAUAUAAAAUUCUAUAGGGUCUUCUCGUCUUUUAAUAGUAUUUAAGAAUUUUAACUUAAAAUUUAAUUUUAAUUUUUAUUUUAUUUAUAUAGUUUAUAUUUCAUGGAAUCUUUCAUUCUAGUUUUCAAUUAAAAAACUAAUUAUUAUGCUACCUUUGUACAGUUAUUAAUACUGCAGCCAUUAAAAAUUUUUCAUUGGGCAGGCUUUACUUAAAAUUAUUAUCAAUAAGACAUGUUUUUGUUAAACAGGCG
rnacentral:rRNA from 1 species